UCCCUGGUGGCUUAGUGGUAAAGGACCUGUUUGCCAAUGCAGGAGACCCAGGUUCAACCCCUGGGUUGGGAA
rnacentral:tRNA from 1 species